GAUGAACGCUGGCGGCGUGCCUAAUACAUGCAAGUCGAGCGAACAGACGAGGAGCUUGCUCCUCUGACGUUAGCGGUGGACGGGUGAGUAACACGUGGAUAACCUACCUAUAAGACUGGGAUAACUUCGGGAAACCGGAGCUAAUACCGGAUAAUAUAUUGAACCGCAUGGUUCAAUAGUGAAAGACGGUUUUGCUGUCACUUAUAGAUGGAUCCGCGCCGCAUUAGCUAGUUGGUAAGGUAACGGCUUACCAAGGCAACGAUGCGUAGCCGACCUGAGAGGGUGAUCGGCCAGACUGGAACUGAGACACGGUCCAGACUCCUACGGGAGGCAGCAGUAGGGAAUCUUCCGCAAUGGGCGAAAGCCUGACGGAGCAACGCCGCGUGAGUGAUGAAGGUCUUCGGAUCGUAAAACUCUGUUAUUAGGGAAGAACAAAUGUGUAAGUAACUAUGCACGUCUUGACGGUACCUAAUCAGAAAGCCACGGCUAACUACGUG
rnacentral:rRNA from 1 species